rnacentral:misc_RNA from 1 species
CACAGAAGAAAUUGCACUGGAGGCACAAUAUUGGUGAAAAUACGCCCUAGUCAAUGGGAUGGAGGCACAGACAGCCAUCUGGUUUUACAUCCCAGAUUUCACCAUAUUUGUCUGCUCAACAAAUGUGCAUGGCAAACAUCCAUCUGGUUUACAUCCCAGAUUUUAUCUCUGGGCUCCUCUGGUUUGGUCAUAUGUGCUGGGGGGAUAUGGUGCUGCCGGUGGUGGUGGAGGAGGAGGUGCUUGCGCUGCAUUUGCAGUGCCACUGCUCGGCUGAACUUGCCCAGUAGGAUAUCCAGCACUACCAACUGCCCCAUACUGGCCUCCUGCGGCGUUCGUAGCUGCACCGCUGCUUGUUGGCUGCGGAGGUGCAGCAUAGGAAUAGUUGGGCACUGCACUUUGCGCGUAGCCUGCAACUGGAUAGCCAGAGUAACCUGCAUAUGCAUAAGCCGUGCCAGCAUCAUAAGCAUAGUUGUAUGCUCCAGCCUGAGCACCCUGCUGAUAUGCCCCAUCCUGGGCUCCCUGCUGAUAUGCCCCAUCCUGGGCUCCCUGCUGAUAUGCCCCAGCCUGGGCCCCCUGCUGAUAUGCCCCAGACUGGGCCCCCUGCUGAUAUGCCCCAGCCUGGGCUCCCUGCUGAUAUGCCCCAGCCUGAGCACCCUGCUGAUAUGCCCCAGCCUGGGCUCCCUGCUGAUAUGCCCCAGCCUGGGCUCCCUGCUGAUAUGCCCCAGCCUGAGCCCCCUGCUGAUAUGCCCCAUCCUGGCCCCCCUGCUGAUAUGCCCCAGCCUGGGCUCCCUGCUGAUAUGCCCCAGCCUGGGCUCCCUGCUGAUAUACCCCAGCCUGAGCACCCUGCUGAUAUGCCCCAGCCUGGGCUCCCUGCUGAUAUGCAGGGGGGUAGCUGGUAUAUGCACCUGCAUAUGAGUCUGUGGCUGCUGCUGCUGAAACCGUGGUAGCUUGAGCUGUCCCAGGCUGCGAAGCUGUCACCUGUGCACCAGCUGCAUGUGCUGCUGCUUGAGCCGCAGCUGCUGCUCGUUGAGAAGAAGAAAAAAUGGAUGGAAAUAGAAUAUCAGAGCUAUGCAAUUAAGGAGUAACAUAUGUACAUGUAUAUAUCUACAAAAAACAUUUCAAUUUCUCGUAAUCUGCGUAUGCAAAGGGUUUUCUCUAUACACUUGAGGCCUUGAGCUACAGAGCAGAUUGCUAUUGUCCUAUAUGCUUCCCCAGCUAUGAUAUUGAAGCCCAAAAUAAAAUGCUUGUGAUAUAAAAAUUGGCGCAGAAGGGAUAGGCCUAGCUCAGUGUUGAGAAGCCUUCCCACUGAGCCAAAGGUCCUAGGUUCCAUAGAUCCUCUCUGCAAAAAUACAUGAGUAAGACUUCCCUCAGAUAUUCCUUCCCCAGACCCCAAAUCACAUGGGAGGCACCAACACUGGGUCUGUCCCUUUUUUAUAUACAAAAUUUUGGCAAAGCAUAGAAAACAUCUCCUCAGGUAAGUUUAAAAGAAGAAAACAUAACACUCAUAUAUCAGCUACCAAAAGCUUCCAGUUAAGCUGCACCACAAAAAUCAGGUUUCCCAUUUGCUAAAUAAGUUGAUGUUUAGUUUAGAUCAAUCACUUUGCUAGUGAUAGAUUAGUAUGCGCUAAAGUGCAAUAAAAUCAUGGACAAUUUCAAAGGAUUGAUACGUAACUUAUGCCUACCUUUCUAUACUGUAGAUGACACAAUUAUUCAUUUCCACAGGAAAAUAUGGCUAUGCGCUUUAUGCUGUGUCCCAACAAUGAACUAUAAUGGGAACCAAUCAAUACAAUGGCACAUUGUACUAAGCUGCUGACACAGAAUGUGGAAUGAUGAAUAGACUCAGCUUUUUCCUAUAUCCACUCAUCCAAAAAAUGACCAUAUGGCAUCCAACUUGACAUUUCGAAAGCAAUAUGUAUGCAAUUGUACUGUAUUAUUACAUUAGAUACGUCAGUCCUCAUGACUCAUACGAACUACUUAUUUCAUCUAUUGAAUAAUGAAUUUUUCCCUAAACCCUCAACCUGUUGGGGAUCUAUGGGCCAUGAAACUUCUAUGUGGGGACCCAUAUUCACCUAAUCACCUUCACAGCACUCCGCACCUACUAAGACGAUAAGACCGACAAAUGAUAAUAUCACACUGCAAAUACUGUUGAAAAUAGGGAAAUCAGGAUUCAAUGGGAAGCCUAUGAGCGAGCAGCUUUGAGAUUCACACUACUAAGACAAAAACCUACCAGUCUUCACAAACUAAACACAAAAGGAAUAGAAAUAAUACUGCUCCCAUCUAAGAGUACAGCCCAGUAAGGUUCAGCUCAAAACCUAACAAUUAGGGAAUGAGGAUAAUUUGCAGGCCAACAUGGUGAGGAUGAGAAUAUUUACCUUGUGCCCGUCUUUCAGCAUUUGCCACAUCAACACGUAACUUCUCAGCUUGUUUGGUCAUGGUUAUCAAGUUCAUUUCCAUUGUCCGCAUCUGCUCAACUUGCUUGACGUUUGUAUUUUUCUCAAAUUCAAACUGAGAUCUUCAAACAGAAAGGGGAAACAUGACUUAUUAUCAACACAAAGCUCAGGCAGUUGCAAAGAAAAAAUGUAAAGAAGGAACAUUGUCACAAACCGUAAAUUAUGAUGCUCUUUCCGUAGCCUAUCUAGCUCAGAAAGCAAUUCAGGAAGGCUUUUAUUGUCCCCAGAGGCAGAGAGUUUCUGUAAUUCUUUAGUCACAUCCUCUAUCUCAAGGGUUAGCAUCUGCCUUUCAGUAAUAAGUCUCUUUGCCUCCAUAUGCAUUUGGUGAAGCUCCUUGUUCACUACAUUACCACUAUGUAUAUCUACCUCCAUUAAUCUGAUUCUCUCCAACAAAUCUCUAAUCUGCAAAUCAGUCUCUGUCUGAACUUCACCUAGGUGGGUGCGGAUCAUUUGCAUCUCUUUCUCCGUAUCAACAAUGUCCUGCCUCAAGACCACAUGGCUUGAUGCUAACCGCUGAUUCUCCGUGAUAAGCUUUUCCACUUCUGUAGUUUGCAUGGCAAGCUUGUUCUCCAGCAUCUCCAGUGUGGAUGAAGACUGCAAAGGUGAGCGGCUAGAGAGGCUGCCUGCAGCGAAGGAACCAUGGCGCAUAAGAGCAGGAGCUUGGCCAGUCAGUCCAUCUAGAUGUCCACGAUGAGCCAUUAUCCUGAAAAUACAAAAAAUGGUAGGGAAUGAUGAAAAAGAUCAGGGUUCUAAAAAACAGCACUAAGCGCACGCUUCAGCGCGCUGAAGCGCUAACGCUUCGCUUUGGGCAUAAGCGCUCCUCAAAGCGGCGAGACCGCCUUGGUGGAGCAGCAGCUGGUGGCUCCCGCUGCCCUCAGGCCGCGGGCGGCGCGGCCGUGUCAGCAGCCCGCCAUCUGAACCAGGAGCCACUAGAGAGGCACGCACGCAGGGUCACCGACCGGUGUGCGGAGGACCGGAGGCGAGGGCGCGAGGCGACUGGCGAGAGGCGGGAGGGGAAGCCGCUGCCGCUGCCGCCGUCGCUGAGAGCCCGAGCCUCAGCGCCGGCGCUGCGAGGAAGAUGAAGAAACAGCGGCGGCUGUGUG